ensembl:snRNA U6 U6 spliceosomal RNA
GUGCUUGCUUUGGCAGCACAUAAGCUAAAACUGCAGUGACAGAGAAGAUUACCAGAUUACCAUGGCCCCUGCACAAAGAUGACAAAUUUGUGAAGCAUUAAAAAAGAAA